GUCGGCCUGCGCGGAAGAUGUAACGGGGCUAAACCAUGCACCGAAGCUGCGGCAGCGACACUAUGUGUUGUUGGGUAGGGGAGCGUUCUGUAAGCCUGUGAAGGUGUACUGUGAGGUAUGCUGGAGGUAUCAGAAGUGCGAAUGCUGACAUAAGUAACGAUAAAGCGGGUGAAAAGCCCGCUCGCCGGAAGACCAAGGGUUCCUGUCCAACGUUAAUCGGGGCAGGGUGAGUCGACCCCUAAGGCGAGGCCGAAAGGCGUAGUCGAUGGGAAACAGGUUAAUAUUCCUGUACUUGGUGUUACUGCGAAGGGGGGACGGAGAAGGCUAUGUUGGCCGGGCGACGGUUGUCCCGGUUUAAGCGUGUAGGCUGAUUUUCCAGGCAAAUCCGGAAAAUCAAGGCUGAGGCGUGAUGACGAGGCACUACGGUGCUGAAGCAACAAAUGCCCUGCUUCCAGGAAAAGCCUCUAAGCAUCAGGUAACAUCAAAUCGUACCCCAAACCGACACAGGUGGUCAGGUAGAGAAUACCAAGGCGCUUGAGAGAACUCGGGUGAAGGAACUAGGCAAAAUGGUGCCGUAACUUCGGGAGAAGGCACGCUGAUAUGUAGGUGAAGCGACUUGCUCGUGGAGCUGAAAUCAGUCGAAGAUACCAGCUGGCUGCAACUGUUUAUUAAAAACACAGCACUGUGCAAACACGAAAGUGGACGUAUACGGUGUGACGCCUGCCCGGUGCCGGAAGGUUAAUUGAUGGGGUUAGCGGUAACGCGAAGCUCUUGAUCGAAGCCCCGGUAAACGGCGGCCGUAACUAUAACGGUCCUAAGGUAGCGAAAUUCCUUGUCGGGUAAGUUCCGACCUGCACGAAUGGCGUAAUGAUGGCCAGGCUGUCUCCACCCGAGACUCAGUGAAAUUGAACUCGCUGUGAAGAUGCAGUGUACCCGCGGCAAGACGGAAAGACCCCGUGAACCUUUACUAUAGCUUGACACUGAACAUUGAGCCUUGAUGUGUAGGAUAGGUGGGAGGCUUUGAAGUGUGGACGCCAGUCUGCAUGGAGCCGACCUUGAAAUACCACCCUUUA
rnacentral:rRNA from 1 species